rnacentral:rRNA from 1 species
AGAGUUUGAUCCUGGCUCAGGAUGAACGCUGGCGGCGUGCUUAACACAUGCAAGUCGAGCGAAGCAGUUAAGUUGAUUUCUUCGGAUUGAUUCUUAACUGACUGAGCGGCGGACGGGUGAGUAACGCGUGGGUGACCUGCCCCAUACCGGGGGAUAACAGCUGGAAACGGCUGCUAAUACCGCAUAAGCGCACAGAGCUGCAUGGCUCCGUGUGAAAAACUCCGGUGGUAUGGGAUGGGCCCGCGUCUGAUUAGGCAGUUGGCGGGGUAACGGCCCACCAAACCGACGAUCAGUAGCCGGCCUGAGAGGGCGACCGGCCACAUUGGGACUGAGACACGGCCCAAACUCCUACGGGAGGCAGCAGUGGGGAAUAUUGCACAAUGGGGGAAACCCUGAUGCAGCGACGCCGCGUGAGCGAAGAAGUAUUUCGGUAUGUAAAGCUCUAUCAGCAGGGAAGAUAAUGACGGUACCUGACUAAGAAGCCCCGGCUAACUACGUGCCAGCAGCCGCGGU